rnacentral:rRNA from 1 species
AGUGAACGCUGGCGGUAGGCCUAACACAUGCAAGUCGAACGGCAGCACAGUAAGAGCUUGCUCUUACUGGUGGCGAGUGGCGGACGGGUGAGGAAUACAUCGGAAUCUACUUUUUCGUGGGGGAUAACGUAGGGAAACUUACGCUAAUACCGCAUACGACCUACGGGUGAAAGCAGGGGAUCUUCGGACCUUGCGCGAUUGAAUGAGCCGAUGUCGGAUUAGCUAGUUGGCGGGGUAAAGGCCCACCAAGGCGAAGAUCCGUAGCUGGUCUGAGAGGAUGAUAAGACACACUGGAACUGAGACACGGUCCAGACUCCUACGGGAGGCAGCAGUGGGGAAUAUUGGACAAUGGGCGCAAGCCUGAUCCAGCCAUACCGCGUGGGUGAAGAAGGCCUUCGGGUUGUAAAGCCCUUUUGUUGGGAAAGAAAAGCAGCAGGUUAAUACCCCGCUGUUCUGACGGUACCAAAAGAAUAAGCACCGGCUAACUUCGUG